rnacentral:rRNA from 1 species
AUGACCUGCGGCGACCUCCCCAGCUCGCCGGCGCCGGAGGUGGCGGCCCCGCUGGAGGACGAGAACCUCCUCCCGGAGAUCCUCGUCCGGCUAGCCCCGCUGCCGUCCGCCCUCCCUCGCGCCUCUCUCGUCUGCAAAAGCUGGCGCCGCCUCGUCACCGACCGCCGCUUCGUCCGCCGCUUCCGCGCGCACCACCUCCGCAGCCCACCUCCCCUGAUCGGCUUCUUCGAGGAGGUGAGCCGCAAACCCGACGCCCCGAACCCCGCCCCGGACGCCCCCGAAGUCCUCUCCUUCACCCCUAUCCUGGAUCACCCCGACCGCGUCCCGGUCGAGCGCUUCUCCCUGCGCCUCCACGACGGCAGCGGCCGCUCCAACAUCGGCUGCCGCGACGGCCUCGUGCUCCUCAUCGACCCGGCGGGCUUCGACAUCGAGGUCCUCGUGUGGGACCCCGUCACGGGCGACCAGCACCGCUUCCUCAUCCCCUGGGUGAUCGACGACGGCCAGGGCACCGAGAUCUUAAACGGGGCGGUCCUUCGCACCGCCGGAAUCCUCGACGAUCGCCCCUUCCGGUUCCAGGCGGUGUUGACCGGCGUCGACAGGCAGAACAAGCGGCUGUUCGCCUGCGUUUACUCGUCCGAGACCGGCAAAUGGGGCGAUCCAAUCUGGGUAUCCGCGGAUUUUACGAGCGGCGUAACCACCAUGAUUGAGAUGCGUGUUUCCAGUACCCUGGUCGGGAAUUCCCUCUACUGGUCCCUUUGCUCAAUUGCUUGGGAGGUAGCUGCCAUCCUUCAAUUUGAUUUGGAUACACAACACCUGGCUGUCAUACACUUACCCUGCUUGGGUAAGUGUAGUAGGAAUGGCAGCCGGACCUUCCGGGCUAUGCCCGUGGACGGUGGUGAGCUUGGCGUCCUUGAGCUGUUAGACGCCAACCUCCAUUUGUGGAAAAGGAAGAUCGACCGUGAUGGUGUUGUUUCAUGGGUGCUGGGGAAGACUAUUGGAUUGGAGGAACUUCUUUAUAUAGAUAAAAGGAAAAUGGGCCCAAUGAUGCUCGGGUAUUGCGAGGACAAUAAUGUGGUGUUUAUAUGGACAUAUCACGGCAUUUUCAUGGUCCAGCUUGAGUCACUGGAAGUGUACAAGCCUCCCAUACAGACAUUUUACUGUUUGGUUCAUCCAUUCACAAGUGUCUACACUGCAGACAUGGGCAUUGGUGGUGAACCUGAUGAAGCCAAAUUUCUGAGCAAUGCAAUGCAUAAGAAAUGUUCCCUUUACGACCAUUUUUGA